GACGAACGCUGGCGGCGUGCUUAACACAUGCAAGUCGAGCGGUAAGGCCCUUUCGGGGGUACACGAGCGGCGAACGGGUGAGUAACACGUGGGUGACCUGCCUCUAGCUCUGGGAUAAGCCCGGGAAACUGGGUCUAAUACUGGAUAUGACUCCAUGACGCAUGUUGUGGGGUGGAAAGCCUUGUGCGGCUAGAGAUGGGCCCGCGGCCCAUCAGCUUGUUGGUGGGNGAUGGCCUACCAAGGCGACGACGGGUAGCCGGCCUGAGAGGGCGACCGGCCACACUGGGACUGAGACACGGCCCAGACUCCUACGGGAGGCAGCAGUGGGGAAUCUUGCGCAAUGGGCGAAAGCCUGACGCAGCGACGCCGCGUGAGGGAUGACGGCCU
rnacentral:rRNA from 1 species